rnacentral:rRNA from 1 species
AGUGAACGCUGGCGGUAGGCCUAACACAUGCAAGUCGAACGGCAGCACAGUAAGAGCUUGCUCUUACGGGUGGCGAGUGGCGGACGGGUGAGGAAUACAUCGGAAUCUACUUUUUCGUGGGGGAUAACGUAGGGAAACUUCCGCUAAUACCGCAUACGACCUACGGGUGAAAGCAGGGGAUCUUCGGACCUUGCGCGAUUGAAUGAGCCGAUGUCGGAUUAGCUAGUUGGCGGGGUAAAGGCCCACCAAGGCAACGAUCCGUAGCUGGUCUGAGAGGAUGAUCAGCCACACUGGAACUGAGACACGGUCCAGACUCCUACGGGAGGCAGCAGUGGGGAAUAUUGGACAAUGGGCGCAAGCCUGAUCCAGCCAUACCGCGUGGGUGAAGAAGGCCUUCGGGUUGUAAAGCCCUUUUGUUGGGAAAGAAAAGCAGCAGGUUAAUACCCCGCUGUUCUGACGGUACCCAAAGAAUAAGCACCGGCUAACUUCGUG